GCCUGGGUGGCUCAGUCAGUUGAGCGUCUGACUUUAGCUCAGGUCAAGAUCUUGAGGUUUGUGAGUUUAAGCCCUGCAUCAGGCU
rnacentral:tRNA from 1 species